AUAUUUAUAGAUAGCCCAUAAGACUAUUCCCAUUCCAUUUCUGUUACUCCUACUCAUAGUCAUCUCUGCUAACCAGAAACAAAAGCAGAAUGUGAACUUCAGUCAGAAGAAUUGAUUUCUAUUCCUGAUUUUCUCCACUUAAUGCAUUUUAUGUCUAAAGGCUGAGCCCUCUAUCCACUGUGCCACCUCACUGAAGGUGAAGGGAGGGAGAACUAAAUCAGGAAGAGCUGGCAGGUACCAUACAUCUAAGCAGAAAAGGAGAGAAAUGAAGUCAAUCACACAAGAGCAGAUCAAGAAAGGAAAAUCACAACAAAAAGAAGAAACGGUCCCAAUGUGUGACACCCUGAGGGAAUGCCUGCUUCCAUCCUGUUAGUGGAAGAUAGGGUCUUGGAGAAGAAGAUCCUGGAGUGAGAAGUAGCUUCAACAAAUCACUGGAUCCAUCACACUCCUGUAUUAAGGCAGAUGAGAUCAUACUGUUCACAUUUGAAAGUCAAAUAAGUUUCCCAAUUUCAUCUGCUAAGGUAAACAUUAACAAAGAACCUCUUAAUUAGAAGUUUAAUUCUUUACCCACAGAAAAGCAAUUCCCAUACUUCUGUUUUUAAAUUAUGACACCUGGUUCAAGACUUGAAAAGUUAACCAUGCCCAACC
ensembl:lncRNA